rnacentral:rRNA from 1 species
GCAGUCGAGCGAAUGGAUUAAGAGCUUGCUCUUAUGAAGUUAGCGGCGGACGGGUGAGUAACACGUGGGUAACCUGCCCAUAAGACUGGGAUAACUCCGGGAAACCGGGGCUAAUACCGGAUAACAUUUUGAACUGCAUGGUUCGAAAUUGAAAGGCGGCUUCGGCUGUCACUUAUGGAUGGACCCGCGUCGCAUUAGCUAGUUGGUGAGGUAACGGCUCACCAAGGCAACGAUGCGUAGCCGACCUGAGAGGGUGAUCGGCCACACUGGGACUGAGACACGGCCCAGACUCCUACGGGAGGCAGCAGUAGGGAAUCUUCCGCAAUGGACGAAAGUCUGACGGAGCAACGCCGCGUGAGUGAUGAAGGCUUUCGGGUCGUAAAACUCUGUUGUUAGGGAAGAACAAGUGCUAGUUGAAUAAGCUGGCACCUUGACGGUACCUAACCAGAAAGCCACGGCUAACUACGUGCCAGCAGCCGCGGUAAUACGUAGGUGGCAAGCGUUAUCCGGAAUUAUUGGGCGUAAAGCGCGCGCAGGUGGUUUCUUAAGUCUGAUGUGAAAGCCCACGGCUCAACCGUGGGAGGGUCAUUGGAAACUGGGAGACUUGAGUGCAGAAGAGGAAAGUGGGAAUUCCAUGUGUAGCGGUGAAAUGCGUAGAGAUAUGGAGGAACACCAGUGGCGAAGGCGACUUUCUGGUCUGUAACUGACAC